rnacentral:rRNA from 1 species
CACAAGCGGUGGAGCAUGUGGUUAAUUCGAAGCAACGCGAAGAACCUUACAGGUCUUGACAUCCCUGACAACCAAGAGAUUGGGCGUUCCCCUUCGGGGGACAGGGUGACAGGUGGUGCAUGGGUUGUCGUCAGCUCGUGUCGUGAGAUGUUGGGUUAAGUCCCGCAACGAGCGCAACCCUCGCCUCUAGUUGCCAGCAUUCGGUUGGGCACUCUAGAGGGACUGCCGGCGACAAGUCGGAGGAAGGUGGGGAUGACGUCAAAUCAUCAUGCCCCUUAUGACCUGGGCUACACACGUGCUACAAUGGGCGGUACAAAGGGCUGCGAACCCGCGAGGGGGAGCGAAUCCCAAAAAGCCGCUCUCAGUUCGGAUUGCAGGCUGCAACUCGCCUGCAUGAAGCCGGAAUCGCUAGUAAUCGCGGAUCAGCAUGCCGCGGUGAAUACGUUCCCGGGCCUU